CCUACGGGGGGCUGCAGUGGGGGAUAUUGCGCAAUGGGCGAAAGCCUGACGCAGCGACGCCGCGUGGGUGAUGAAGGCCUUCGGGUCGUAAAGCCCUGUCGAGGGGGACGAAACGGCUCCGACCUAAUACGUCGGGGUUCUGACGGUACCCCUAAAGGAAGCACCGGCUAACUCCGUGCCAGCAGCCGCGGUAAUACGGAGGGUGCGAGCGUUGUUCGGAAUCGUGGGGCGGAUCUGGCGUGUCGGCGGUGAAAGCCCGGGGCUCAGCCCCGUAAGUGCAUUGGAAACUGACAGACUGGAGUCCCGGAGAGGAGGGUGGAAUUCCUGGUGGAGCGGUGAAAUGCGUAGAUAUCAGGAGGAACACCGGUGGCGAAGGCGGCCCUCUGGACGGUGACUGACGCUGAGACGCGAAAGCGUGGGGAGCAAACAGGAUUAGAUACCCGAGUAGUC
rnacentral:rRNA from 1 species